AUUGAACGCUGGCGGCAGGCCUAACACAUGCAAGUCGAACGGUAACAGGAAGAAGCUUGCUUCUUUGCUGACGAGUGGCGGACGGGUGAGUAAUGUCUGGGAAACUGCCUGAUGGAGGGGGAUAACUACUGGAAACGGUAGCUAAUACCGCAUAACGUCGCAAGACCAAAGAGGGGGACCUUCGGGCCUCUUGCCAUCGGAUGUGCCCAGAUGGGAUUAGCUAGUAGGUGGGGUAACGGCUCACCUAGGCGACGAUCCCUAGCUGGUCUGAGAGGAUGACCAGCCACACUGGAACUGAGACACGGUCCAGACUCCUACGGGAGGCAGCAGUGGGGAAUAUUGCACAAUGGGCGCAAGCCUGAUGCAGCCAUGCCGCGUGUAUGAAGAAGGCCUUCGGGUUGUAAAAUACUUUCAACGGGGAGGAAGGGAGUAAAGUUAAUACCUUUGCUCAUUGACGUUACCCGCAGAAGAAGCACCGGCUAACUCCGUG
rnacentral:rRNA from 1 species